UACAGAGGCCUCGAGCGUUAGGCGGAAUCACUGGGCUUAAAGCGUGUGUAGGUGGAUGCCUAAGUACCUUGUGAAAUCCCACGGCUUAACCGUGGAACUGCUGGGUAUACUGGGUGUCUUGAGCCACUCAGGGGCUACCGGAACGAAACGGUGGAGCGGUGAAAUGCGUAGAUAUCGUUUGGAACGCCAAUGGUGAAAACAGGUAGCUGGGGGUGUGCUGACACUGAGACACGGAAAGCCAGGGAGCAA
rnacentral:rRNA from 1 species